GACGAACCGUGCGAACGUUGUUCGGAAUCACUGGGCUUAAAGGGCGCGUAGGCGGGCGGUCAAGUCUGUGGUGAAAUCCUUCGGCUCAACCGGAGAAUAGCUGGAGAUACUGGCCGUCUCGAGGGGGGGUAGGGGCAUGUGGAACUUCCGGUGGAGCGGUGAAAUGACGCAGAUAUCGGGAGGAACACCGGUGGCGAAGGCGGCGAUCUGGGGUCGAUACUGACGCUGAGGUGCGAAAAGCGUGGGGGAGCAAACAGG
rnacentral:rRNA from 1 species